GAUGAACGCUGGCGGCGUGCCUAAUACAUGCAAGUCGAGCGAACGGACGAGAAGCUUGCUCUUCUGAUGUUAGCGGCGGACGGGUGAGUAACACGUGGAUAACCUACCUAUAAGACUGGGAUAACUUCGGGAAACCGGAGCUAAUACCGGAUAAUAUUUUGAACCGCAUGGUUCAAAAGUGAAAGACGGUCUUGCUGUCACUUAUAGAUGGAUCCGCGCUGCAUUAGCUAGUUGGUAAGGUAACGGCUUACCAAGGCAACGAUGCAUAGCCGACCUGAGAGGGUGAUCGGCCACACUGGAACUGAGACACGGCACCGACUCCUACGGGAGGCAGCAGUAGGGACUCUUCCGCAAUGGGCGAAAGCGUGAUGGUGCAACGCCGCGUGAGUGAUGAAGGUCCUCUGAUCGUAAAACUCUGUUAUUAGGGAAGAACAAAUGUGUAAGUAACUGUGCACAUCUUGACGGUACCUAAUCAGAAAGCCACGGCUAACUCCGUG
rnacentral:rRNA from 1 species